rnacentral:rRNA from 1 species
UACGUAGGGUGCAAGCGUUGUCCGGAAUUAUUGGGCGUAAAGAGCUCGUAGGCGGUUUGUCACGUCUGCUGUGAAAACUCGGGGCUUAACUCCGGGCCUGCAGUGGGUACGGGCAGACUAGAGUGCGGUAGGGGAGACUGGAAUUCCUGGUGUAGCGGUGAAAUGCGUAGAUAUCGUAAGGAAGACCAGUGGCGAAGGCGGGUCUCUGGACAGUUCCUGACGCUGAGGCACGAAGGUCAGGGGAGCAAACGGG